rnacentral:rRNA from 1 species
UACGUAGGGUGCAAGCGUUAAUCGGAAUUACUGGGCGUAAAGCGUGCGCAGGCGGUUAUGUAAGACAGGUGUGAAAUCCCCGGGCUUAACCUGGGAACUGCAUUUGUGACUGCAUAGCUAGAGUACGGUAGAGGGGGAUGGAAUUCCGCGUGUAGCAGUGAAAUGCGUAGAGAUGCGGAGGAACACCGAUGGCGAAGGCAGCCCCCUGGGCUGACACUGACGCUCAGGCACGAAAGCGUGGGGAGCAAACAGG